UCAGCCCCAAAUCCAGAAGGACAAACACACAGUCUGAGAGCUCCAAUUUUGGCAUGAUUUUAUGAAUGAUUCCAAAGCCUUUACCACAUUCCCAAAACUUAUAGGGCUUCGGUUCAGCAUGAAGCUUUUGACAAUUUUUAGGUUUGAAGAAGUUAAGAUUUUUUUGAACAUUUUAACAUUUGUACUAUUUCACUCUAGUUCAAGCUACCUUGUUUUCAGAAAUAUAAGAAUGCUCAUUAAAGGGUUUGCAAUAUUUUUCAUACUUGUGACAUUUCAGUCUAGUAUGAAUUAUGAGGUUUUCCCCAAGGUUUCUGUAAGUCCAAAAGACCUUAGCACAUUCUUCACACUGUGUGGUUUCUCUCAUAGAUGAAUUCUUUGAUGUUGCUUAAGACCCAAAGACCGGUAAUACAGUGUUUGCCACAUUCUCCACUUGCGUAGUGUUUAUCUCCAAUAAGAAUUAUUCUGUGUUCAGACCAUGCCAUGAAAUUCAAAAGUAUUUGCCACAUUUUUUACAUUUGUAUGGUUUCUUUCCAGAAUGAAUUCUUUGAUGAUCCCUAAAUUUGUUUAGCAUUUUGAUAAGUAAAGACCUUGCCACAUACUUCACACUUGUAGGGAGUCUCUUCUGUAUGAAUCAUCUUGUGUUUAGAAAGUAAUGGUGAAUACUGGAAAGUCUGCCACAUACUUCACACUUUUAAGGUUUCUCUCUUGUAUGAAUUUUCUUAUGGUCUGAAAGUACUGAUGGAUUUUGUAAGGCCAUGCCACAUAUUUCACACUUUUAGGGGUUGUCUUCUCUAUGUAUUCCCUUGUGUAUAUGAAGUGAUGAUGUAGUGCGGAAGGCCUUUCCACACACUUUACACUUGUAUGGUGUCUCUCCUGUAUGAAUAUUCUUAUGGUCAGAAAGUACUGAUGAAUAACGGAAGGCCUUGCCACAUACUUCACACUUGAAGGGUUUAUCUUCUCUAUGAAUUCCCUUGUGUACACGAAGUGAUGAUGGAGAGCGGAAAGCCUUUCCACACACUUUACACUUGUAUGGUGUCUCUCCUGUAUGUAUGUUAUUAUGUUUUGAAAGUCUUGAUGGAUAUUCAAAGGCCUUGCCACAUAUUUCACACUUGUAGGGUUUCUCCCCUGCAUGCAUUCUCUUGUGUUCAUGAAGUGAUGAUUGAGAGCGAAGGAAAUUUCCACAUAUUUUACACUUGUAGGGUUUUUGGUCUGUAUGACUUAUCUUGUGUUUUAAAAGUAAUGAUGGAAAGCGGAAGGUCUUGCCACAUACAUCACACUUGCAGGGUAACUCUCCUGUAUGAAUUCUCUUGUGUUGCCAAAGUGAAGAUGGAGUGCAGAAGGCAUUUCCACACACUUUACACUUGUAUUGUUUCUCUCUUGUAUGAAUUAUCUUAUGUUUUAAAAGUCUUGAUGGAUAUUUGAAGGCCUUGCCACAUAUUUCACAGUUGUAGGGUUUCUCUCUUGUAUGAAUUCUUUUCUGCUCAGGAAGUGAUGAUGGAGACCAGAAGACCUUUCUACCUACUUUACACUUGGAGGGUUUUUGUUCUCUAUGAAUUUUCUUAUGGUUGGAAAGUAUUGAUGGAUAACGGAAGGCCUUGCCACACACUUCACACUUAUAGGGUUUGUCUUCUCUAUGAGUUCCCUUGUGUAGAAUAAGUGAUGAUGGAGAGUGGAAGGCCUUUCCACAUACUUUACACUUGUAUGGUGUCUCUCCUGUAUGUAUAUUCUUAUGGUUGGAAAGUAUUGAUGGAUAAUGGAAGGCCUUGCCACAUACUUCACACUUGUAGGGUUUUCCUCCUCUGUGAGUUCCCUUGUGUACACGAAGUGAUGAUGGAGAGCGAAAGGCCUUUCCACACACUUUACACUUGUAUGGUGUCUCUCCUGUAUGAAUAUUCUUAUGGUCUGAAAGUACUGAUGAAUAACGGAAGGCCUUGCCACAUACUUCACACUUGUAGGGUUUGUCUUCUCUAUGAAUUCCCUUGUGUACACGAAGUGAUGAUGGAGAGCGGAAAGCCUUUCCACAUACUUCACACUUGUAGGGUUUCUCUCCUGCAUGCAUUCUCUUGUGUUCAUGAAGUGAUGAUCGAGAGCGGAGGAAAUUUCCACAUACUUCACACUUGUAGGGUUUUUGUUCUGUAUGAAUUAUCUUGUGUUUUGAAAGUAAUGAUGGAUAUUGGAAAGCCUUGCCACAUACAUCACACUUGCAGGGUAACUCUCCUGUAUGAAUUCUCUCGUGUUGACAAAUAGAUGAUGGAGAGAAGAAGGCCUUUCCACAUACUUUACAUUUGUAUGGCUUCUCACCUUUAUGAAUUAUCUUAUGUUUUGAAAGUCUUGAUGGAUAUUUGAAGGCCUUGGCACAUACUUCACAGUUGUAGGGUUUUUCUCCUGUGCGAAUUAUCUUGUGUUGAGAAAGUUUUGAUGGAACAUGGAAGGCCUUGCUACAUGUUUCAUACUUGUAGGGUUUUUCUCCUGUAUGGAUUCUUUUGUGUUCAGAAAGUAAUGAUGAAAAACAAAAGGACUUGCCAACCUCUUCACAACUAUAUGGCUUCAAACCUAAAUGAAUUAUCUGCUGAUUUCCAAGUACUUUUUCCCUCUCAGAAACUUCUUUGCAUGUAGAGCUAUUUCCCCC
rnacentral:lncRNA from 1 species